UACGGAGGGAGCUAGCGUUGUUCGGAAAUACUGGGCGUAAAGCGCACGUAGGCGGCGCAGCAAGUCAGGGGUGAAAUCCCGGGGCUCAACCCCGGAACUGCCUCUGAAACUGCAGUGCUAGAAUCUUGGAGAGGCGAGUGGAAUUCCGAGUGUAGAGGUGAAAUUCGUAGAUAUUCGGAAGAACACCAGUGGCGAAGGCGACUCGCUGGACAAGUAUUGACGCUGAGGAGCGAAAGCCAGGGGAGCAAACGGG
rnacentral:rRNA from 1 species